CCUACGGGUGGCAGCAGUGGGGAAUAUUGCGCAAUGGGCGAAAGCCUGACGCAGCGACGCCGCGUGAGGGAUGAAGGUCUUCGGAUCGUAAACCACUUUCAGCAGGGAAGAACGGUCACUGUGCUAAUCAGCAGUGAAUUGACGGUACCUGCAAAGGAAGCACCGGCUAACUCCGUGCCAGCAGCCGCGGUAAUACGGAGGGUGCGAGCGUUAAUCGGAAUUACUGGGCGUAAAGCGCUCGUAGGCGGUAUGUCAAGUCAAGGGUGAAAUCCCCGCGCUCAACGUGGGAACUGCCUUUGAAACUGGCAAACUGGAGUGUGUGAGAGGAUAGUAGAAUUCCAGGUGUAGGAGUGAAAUGCGUAGAGAUCUGGAGGAAUAUCAGUGGCGAAGGCGACCAUCUGGCACAUAACUGACGCUGAGGAGCGAAAGCGUGGGUAGCAAACAGGAUUAGAUACCCUAGUAGUC
rnacentral:rRNA from 1 species